GUCCGGCUGUAGCUGUGUGAUGGAACAGACGUGUUCUCUGAUGCGAUGAUCUAAUAGUCUUGAAAAGAGGACCAUUCCCGUGGCUUCUGAGGAAACCUUCCCCAGUAAACCUUCGGAAUUCCACCGACAGAAUCAGUCGGGGCGAGCGGGGACCAGAUCGGACAGGAAUGGCCGGGCGAGCAGAGAGCAGGCGGACGGCCGGGCGGGCCAGCGGGGAGCGGGCAGCCGGGCGGGCGGACAGUACCCCCAGCCGUAGAGGUACAGAUGAACCUACGAAGGACAGGUUGAAGCUAUUGAAAAGUAAACCUCAGACAUGCAGAGAGGGACACCUACUGUUCUACACUGAACACCAGUGCCGGCAUAUAAGGUUAUGCCCUGUCCGUGCUAAACUGACCGCACCUGCCAACGACGCAGGGUUCCGAACAGCGGAGACCAUCUCAGUGCACAGAGGCGGUUUCACUCUACAUGACGACAAACACAGCAGUUACUCAAGAAUACAAUCGAAAAGUGGAACAAAAUACCUGGUGAGUGCCUAACCAUCCUUAUUUCAUCAUCAUGCAAUAUUGUACAUAACCACGAUGGUUAGGCAAUGUACGCAUAUCUAUAGUACUUCUUUCAUGAAAAGCUGCGUGUUUUGAAAUACGGUACCAUAUUUACUAUGAUGUCAUUGCCGGGAAACAGUGUAGCCUGGGUGCCAGGCCCCUGUGCCACGAUACUCAAUUCAGUCAGGGAAAUCUCACGCCUGGAACACAGAAUUUGCAGCUGGGGUCUAAUUUAUACGUCUAGAUAAACUGAAGAAGGAAGCCAGCUCCGAAACUGUGGCGUGUUGGGCAGUAUAGAGGCCUGGUCAAGAGUCUCAGAAAGAAGAAGCACUUUCUUUAUUCCAAGCAAGGACUUAAGCUCCUUGUUCUAAGUGCUGGGGUCUGGCACGCAGGCUAUUCAUAAUUACCUGGCAGCAAAAUCCCAUACGGCAUGUAUACUUCAUGAUGUCGCAAUUUUCAUUGCCAGAAAAUGUGUUAUAUAUAUGUGUCUGCUUCAUUGCAUUCUGUAAAAUUAAUCGACUCACAUGCUUUGCAUACCCUAAAUCUUGUUACUAGUAAUUUAAAUUAAUCAAAGCUGGCCAAAGUUGGCAUAGAUUCAUUUAUGCUCUUUUCUCUCUUUAUACCCACAGG